GGCUGAUUGUCCAGGCAAAUCCGUAUGAUCAAGGCUGAGGUGUGAUGACGAGGCACUACGGUGCUGAAGUAACAAAUGCCCUGCUUCCAGGAAAAGCCUCUAAGCAUCAGGUAACAUUAAAUCGUACCCCAAACCGACACAGGUGGUCAGGUAGAGAAUACCAAGGCGCUUGAGAGAACUCGGGUGAAGGAACUAGGCAAAAUGGUGCCGUAACUUCGGGAGAAGGCACGCUGGUGUGUAGGUGA
rnacentral:rRNA from 1 species